UCCUGACAGAUGGAUCACCUGGUGCGAGCCC
rnacentral:piRNA from 1 species